GAUGAACGCUGGCGGCGUGCUUAACACAUGCAAGUCGAACGAAGCACUUUAUUUGAUUUCCUUCGGGACUGAUUAUUUUGUGACUGAGUGGCGGACGGGGGAGUAACGCGUGGGUAACCUGCCUUGUACAGGGGGAUAACAGUUGGAAACGGCUGCUAAUACCGCAUAAGCGCACAGCAUCGCAUGAUGCAGUGUGAAAAACUCCGGUGGUAUAAGAUGGACCCGCGUUGGAUUAGCUAGUUGGUGAGGUAACGGCCCACCAAGGCGACGAUCCAUAGCCGACCUGAGAGGGUGACCGGCCACAUUGGGACUGAGACACGGCCCAAACUCCUACGGGAGGCAGCAGUGGGGAAUAUUGCACAAUGGGCGAAAGCCUGAUGCAGCGACGCCGCGUGAGCGAAGAAGUAUUUCGGUAUGUAAAGCUCUAUCAGCAGGGAAGAUAAUGACGGUACCUGACUAAGAAGCACCGGCUAAAUACGUG
rnacentral:rRNA from 1 species